UUGGAGGGCAAGUCUGGUGCCAGCAGCCGCGGUAAUUCCAGCUCCAAUAGCGUAUAUUAAAGUUGUUGCCGUUAAAAAGCUCGUAGUUGAACCUUGGACCUGGCUGAUCUGUCCUCCUAAUCGAGCGCACGGAUUCGGUCGGGUCUUUCCUUCUGGGGAGCCCUAUGCCCUUCACUGGGUGUAGUGGGGAACCAGGACUUUUACCUUGAAAAAAUUAGAGUGUUCAAAGCAGGCCUUUGCUCGAAUACAUUAGCAUGGAAUAAUAGAAUAGGACAUCGGUUCUAUUUUGUUGGUUUCUAGGACCGCUGUAAUGAUUAAUAGGGAUAGUCGGGGGCGUCAGUAUUCAAUUGUCAGAGGUGAAAUUCUUGGAUUUAUUGAAGACUAACUACUGCGAAAGCAUUCGCCAAGGAUGUUUUCAUUAAUCAGUGAACGAAAGUUAGGGGAUCGAAGACGAUCAGAUACCGUCGUAGUCUUAACCAUAAACUAGCCGACUAGGGAUCUUUGGGGGAGUAUG
rnacentral:rRNA from 1 species